rnacentral:tRNA from 1 species
GGGCCACUAGCUCAGUUGGUAGAGCAACAGACUCUUAAUCUGUGGGUCGAAGGUUCAAUUCCUUCGUGGCUCA